CAGUCGAGCGGACAGAGGGAGCUUGCUCCCGGAUGUUAGCGGCGGACGGGUGAGUAACACGUGGGUAACCUGCCUGUAAGACUGGGAUAACUCCGGGAAACCGGAGCUAAUACCGGAUAGUUCCUUGAACCGCAUGGUUCAAGGAUGAAAGACGGUUUCGGCUGUCACUUACAGAUGGACCCGCGGCGCAUUAGCUAGUUGGUGGGGUAAUGGCUCACCAAGGCGACGAUGCGUAGCCGACCUGAGAGGGUGAUCGGCCACACUGGGACUGAGACACGGCCCAGACUCCUACGGGAGGCAGCAGUAGGGAAUCUUCCGCAAUGGACGAAAGUCUGACGGAGCAACGCCGCGUGAGUGAUGAAGGUUUUCGGAUCGUAAAGCUCUGUUGUUAGGGAAGAACAAGUGCGAGAGUAACUGCUCGCACCUUGACGGUACCUAACCAGAAAGCCACGGCUAACUACGUGCCAGCAGCCGCGGUAAUACGUAGGUGGCAAGCGUUGUCCGGAAUUAUUGGGCGUAAAGGGCUCGCAGGCGGUUUCUUAAGUCUGAUGUGAAAGCCCCCGGCUCAACCGGGGAGGGUCAUUGGAAACUGGGAAACUUGAGUGCAGAAGAGGAGAGUGAAUUCCACGUGUAGCGGUGAAAUGCGUAGAGAUGUGGAGGAACACCAGUGGCGAAGGCGACUCUCUGGUCUGUAACUGACGCUGAGGAGCGAAAG
rnacentral:rRNA from 1 species